rnacentral:rRNA from 1 species
GACGUAGGAUGCGAGCGUUGUCCGGAUUCAUUGGGCGUAAGAGUUCGUAGGCGGUUUGUUAAGUCUGAUGUAAAAGGCUCGGGCCCAACCCGAGUAUCGCAUUGGAUACUGGCAGACUGGAGUGCAGUAGAGGCAAGUGGAAUUCCCAGUGUAGCGGUGAAAUGCGUAGAUAUCGGGAGGAAUACCUAUGGCGAAAGCAGGCUACUGGACCAUCACUGACGCUGAUCUGCGAAAGCUAGGGGAGCAAACAGG